rnacentral:tRNA from 1 species
AUUAAAGUGGCAGAAAAAAUUGAAAUGCAAGGAAUUUAAGCUUCCUCAAUGAGUGAUUUCCUUUAAUA